CUGAGUUAGGGUCUCUCUAGGCCCGACCUCCCAACCCUUGUGUCUACCUAACCUAUCGUUGCUUCGGUGGGACGGAUCCGUCCUCUGCGGACGGGCCCGCCGGAGGGGUGAACUACCACCCUUUGGGAGAGUUUCCCACCGAUGGCCCACAACAAACUCUUGUACCAAAAACCUGUCGUCUAAAGUAUUUGAUAUUCCAAUCAAAAGCA
rnacentral:misc_RNA from 1 species